UAAUAAGAUUAAUAAAAUUAGUUUCGACCUAAAAAAAGGAAAAUAUUUUCCCUUAUUUU
rnacentral:tRNA from 1 species